rnacentral:rRNA from 1 species
GACGAACGCUGGCGGCGUGCCUAAUACAUGCAAGUUGAGCGCUGAAGGUUGGUACUUGUACCAACUGGAUGAGCAGCGAACGGGUGAGUAACGCGUGGGGAAUCUGCCUUUGAGCGGGGGACAACAUUUGGAAACGAAUGCUAAUACCGCAUAAAAACUUUAAACACAAGUUUUAAGUUUGAAAGAUGCAAUUGCAUCACUCAAAGAUGAUCCCGCGUUGUAUUAGCUAGUUGGUGAGGUAAAGGCUCACCAAGGCGAUGAUACAUAGCCGACCUGAGAGGGUGAUCGGCCACAUUGGGACUGAGACACGGACCAAACUCCUACGGGAGGCAGCAGUAGGGAAUCUUCGGCAAUGGACGAAAGUCUGACCGAGCAACGCCACGUGAGUGAAGAAGGUUUUCGGAUCGUAAAACUCUGUUGGUAGAGAAGAACGUUGGUGAGAGUGGAAAGCUCAUCAAGUGACGGUAACUACCCAGAAAGGGACGGCUAACUACGUG